GCCUGUGUGGCUCAGUUGGUUAAGCACCUGCCUUCAGCUCAGGUCAUGAUCUCAGGGUCCUGGGAUCAAUUCCCAAGUCCAGGCU
rnacentral:tRNA from 1 species